GACAGAGGGUGCAAACGUUGUUCGGAAUUACUGGGCGUAAAGCGCGUGUAGGUGGCGAGGCAAGUCGGGUGUGAAAGCCCUGGGCUCAACCCAGGAAGUGCACUCGAUACUGCCUAGCUAGAGUCCCGGAGAGGUUGGUGGAACUCUCGGUGUAGAGGUGAAAUUCGUAGAUAUCGAGAAGAACACCGGUGGCGAAAGGCGGCCAACUGGACGGUGACUGACACUGAGACGCGAAAGCGUGGGGAGCAAACAGGG
rnacentral:rRNA from 1 species